rnacentral:rRNA from 1 species
GUGAGGAAUUUUGCGCAAUGGGGGCAACCCUGACGCAGCGACGCCGCGUGGAGGACGAAGUCUUUCGGGAUGUAAACUCCUGUCAGUGGGGACGAUAAUGACGGUACCCACAGAGGAAGCACCGGCUAACUCCGUGCCAGCAGCCGCGGUAAGACGGAGGGUGCAAGCGUUGUUCGGAAUUACUGGGCGUAAAGCGUAUGUAGGCGGCAAGUUAAGUUCAAUGUUAAAGCCCACGGCUCAGCCGAGGAGAUUCAUUGAAUACUGGCUAGCUAGAGGGUGUUAGAGGAAGACGGAAUUCCCAGUGUAGCGGUGAAAUGCGUAGAUAUUGGGAGGAACAUCGGUAGCGAAAGCGGUCUUCUGGGACAUACCUGACGCUGAGGUACGAAAGCGUGGGGAGCAAACGGGAUUAGAAACCCCUGUAGUCC